rnacentral:rRNA from 1 species
UACGGAGGGGGCUAGCGUUGUUCGGAAUUACUGGGCGUAAAGCGCACGUAGGCGGCUUUGUAAGUUAGCGGUGAAAGCCCAGGGCUCAACCCUGGAAUUGCCUUUAAGACUGCAUCGCUUGAACAUCGGAGAGGUAAGUGGAAUUCCGAGUGUAGAGGUGAAAUUCGUAGAUAUUCGGAAGAACACCAGUGGCGAAGGCGACUUACUGGACGAUUGUUGACGCUGAGGUGCGAAAGCGUGGGGAGCAAACAGG